rnacentral:rRNA from 1 species
UACGAAGGGGGCUAGCGUUGCUCGGAAUCACUGGGCGUAAAGGGUGCGUAGGCGGGUCUUUAAGUCAGGGGUGAAAUCCUGGAGCUCAACUCCAGAACUGCCUUUGAUACUGAAGAUCUUGAGUUCGGGAGAGGUGAGUGGAACUGCGAGUGUAGAGGUGAAAUUCGUAGAUAUUCGCAAGAACACCAGUGGCGAAGGCGGCUCACUGGCCCGAUACGUGACGC